rnacentral:rRNA from 1 species
UACGAAGGGGGCUAGCGUUGUUCGGAAUUACUGGGCGCAAAGCGUUUGUAGGCGGUUAUAUAAGCCAGUGGUGAAAGCCCAGGGCUCAACCCUGGAAUUGCCAUUGGAACUGUAUAGCUAGAGAAUGUUAGAGGAAAGUGGAAUUCCUAGUGUAGGAGUGAAAUCCGUAGAGAUUAGGAGGAAUAUCGAUGGCGAAGGCAGCUUUCUGGGACAUUUCUGACGCUGAGAAACGAAAGCGUGGGUAGCAAACAGG